ACGGGUGAGUAAUACAUCGGAACGUGCCCUGUAGUGGGGGAUAACUAGUCGAAAGAUUAGCUAAUACCGCAUACGACCUGAGGGUGAAAGUGGGGGACCGCAAGGCCUCAUGCUAUAGGAGCGGCCGAUGUCUGAUUAGCUAGUUGGUGAGGUAAAGGCUCACCAAGGCGACGAUCAGUAGCUGGUCUGAGAGGACGAUCAGCCACACUGGGACUGAGACACGGCCCAGACUCCUACGGGAGGCAGCAGUGGGGAAUUUUGGACAAUGGGGGCAACCCUGAUCCAGCAAUGCCGCGUGUGUGAGGAAGGCCUUCGGGUUGUAAAGCACUUUUGUCCGGAAAGAAAUCGCACUUACUAAUAUUAGGUGUGGAUGACGGUACCGGAAGAAUAAGGACCGGCUAACUACGUGCCAGCAGCCGCGGUAAUACGUAGGGUCCAAGCGUUAAUCGGAAUUACUGGGCGUAAAGCGUGCGCAGGCGGUUGUGCAAGACCGAUGUGAAAUCCCCGGGCUUAACCUGGGAAUUGCAUUGGUGACUGCACGGCUAGAGUGUGUCAGAGGGGGGUAGAAUUCCACGU
rnacentral:rRNA from 1 species